rnacentral:rRNA from 1 species
ACUUAGCAUAUCAAUAAGCGGAGGAAAAGAAACCAACAGGGAUUGCCCCAGUAACGGCGAGUGAAGCGGCAACAGCUCAAAUUUGAAAUCUGGCUCUCAGGGCCCGAGUUGUAAUUUGUAGAGGAUGCUUUUGGCGAGGUGCCUUCCGAGUUCCCUGGAACGGGACGCCACAGAGGGUGAGAGCCCCGUAUGGUCGGACACCGAGCCUCUGUAAAGCUCCUUCGACGAGUCGAGUAGUUUGGGAAUGCUGCUCAAAAUGGGAGGUAUAUGUCUUCUAAAGCUAAAUAUUGGCCAGAGACCGAUAGCGCACAAGUAGAGUGAUCGAAAGAUGAAAAGCACUUUGAAAAGAGGGUUAAAAAGUACGUGAAAUUGUUGAAAGGGAAGCGCCUAUGACCAGACUUGCGCCCGGUGAAUCACCCAGCGUUCUCGCUGGUGCACUUUGCCGGGCACAGGCCAGCAUCAGUUCAGCGCGGGGGAGAAAGGCUUCGGGAAUGUGGCUCCCUCGGGAGUGUUAUAGCCCGCUGCGUAAUGCCCUGCGCCGGACUGAGGUACGCGCAUUGCAAGGAUGCUGGCGUAAUGGUCAUCAGCGACCCGUCUUGAAACACGGACCAAGGAGUCGUCUUCGUAUGCGAGUGUUCGGGUGUCAAACCCCUACGCGUAAUGAAAGUGAACGCAGGUGAGAGCUUCGGCGCAUCACCGACCGAUCCUGAUGUUCUCGGAUGGAUUUGAGUAAGAGCAUACGGGGCCGGACCCGAAAGAAGGUGAACUAUGCCUGUAUAGGGUGAAGCCAGAGGAAACUCUGGUGGAGGCUCGCAGCGGUUCUGACGUGCGAAUCGAUCGUCAAAUAUGGGCAUGGGGGCGAAAGACUAAUCGAACCUUCUAGUAGCUGGUUUCCGCCGAAGU